AUUGAACGCUGGCGGCAGGCCUAACACAUGCAAGUCGAGCGGUAGCACAGAGAGCUUGCUCUCGGGUGACGAGCGGCGGACGGGUGAGUAAUGUCUGGGAAACUGCCUGAUGGAGGGGGAUAACUACUGGAAACGGUAGCUAAUACCGCAUAACGUCGCAAGACCAAAGUGGGGGACCUUCGGGCCUCAUGCCAUCAGAUGUGCCCAGAUGGGAUUAGCUAGUAGGUGGGGUAACGGCUCACCUAGGCGACGAUCCCUAGCUGGUCUGAGAGGAUGACCAGCCACACUGGAACUGAGACACGGUCCAGACUCCUACGGGAGGCAGCAGUGGGGAAUAUUGCACAAUGGGCGCAAGCCUGAUGCAGCCAUGCUGCGUGUGUGAAGAAGGCCUUCGGGUUGUAAAGCACUUUCAGCGGGGAGGAAGGCGAUAAGGUUAAUAACCUUGUCGAUUGACGUUACCCGCAGAAGAAGCACCGGCUAACUCCGUGCCAGCAGCCGCGGUAAUACGGAGGGUGCAAGCGUUAAUCGGAAUUACUGGGCGUAAAGCGCACGCAGGCGGUCUGUCAAGUCGGAUGUGAAAUCCCCGGGCUCAACCUGGGAACUGCAUUCGAAACUGGCAGGCUAGAGUCUUGUAGAGGGGGGUAGAAUUCCAGGUGUAGCGGUGAAAUGCGUAGAGAUCUGGAGGAAUACCGGUGGCGAAGGCGGCCCCCUGGACAAAGACUGACGCUCAGGUGCGAAAGCGUGGGGAGCAAACAGGAUUAGAUACCCUGGUAGUCCACGCCGUAAACGAUGUCGAUUUGGAGGUUGUGCCCUUGAGGCGUGGCUUCCGGAGCUAACGCGUUAAAUCGACCGCCUGGGGAGUACGGCCGCAAGGUUAAAACUCAAAUGAAUUGACGGGGGCCCGCACAAGCGGUGGAGCAUGUGGUUUAAUUCGAUGCAACGCGAAGAACCUUACCUGGUCUUGACAUCCACAGAACUUUCCAGAGAUGGAUUGGUGCCUUCGGGAACUGUGAGACAGGUGCUGCAUGGCUGUCGUCAGCUCGUGUUGUGAAAUGUUGGGUUAAGUCCCGCAACGAGCGCAACCCUUAUCCUUUGUUGCCAGCGGUUAGGCCGGGAACUCAAAGGAGACUGCCAGUGAUAAACUGGAGGAAGGUGGGGAUGACGUCAAGUCAUCAUGGCCCUUACGACCAGGGCUACACACGUGCUACAAUGGCAUAUACAAAGAGAAGCGACCUCGCGAGAGCAAGCGGACCUCAUAAAGUAUGUCGUAGUCCGGAUUGGAGUCUGCAACUCGACUCCAUGAAGUCGGAAUCGCUAGUAAUCGUAGAUCAGAAUGCUACGGUGAAUACGUUCCCGGGCCU
rnacentral:rRNA from 1 species